CAUACAUAUAUACAUAUAUACAAAAAUCAGUGGCCAGGUUAUAUGUAUAAUGAGGGGUGAAAUAGGCACAUUAAUAGUCCCCCCAAAGAGGUCCACUACCUAAUCCCCAGAAUUUUUGAAUAUGUUAAGUUACGUGGCAAGGGGGAAUUAAGGUUGCAGGUAGAAUGAAGCUGUUAACCAGCUGACCUUAAGGAGAUUAUCCAGGUGGGCCCAAUGUAAGCACAAGAAUACUUAAACAGGGAAGGAGGAAGCAGAGGAACCAGAAGCAGAGAGAUGUUGUCGGGGAAGGACUCGACUGGCCAUUGCUGGCUUUGGAGAUGGAACAAGUGGGUCAGCUGGGAGGAGCUGGAGAUAGAUUCUCCCCUUGUGUCUCUGGAAAGAACACAGCCCUGAUAACCUCUUGAUUAUAGCCCAAUGAGACGGCUUUUGGACUUCUGACCUCCAGAAUGCACCAAGUAUUUGCUGUAACAUUUGGUACAUUGGCCGGGAAAAUUGACAGCUGCGCUGGCCCUUUGAGCCACCAUUGUCAGAGGCCAUGCUUCGAGGCCCCUGGGGAUGGAAAGGAAGGCAUGGCGCCCGUGAUUUAACUGGACCUGGACCCUUGCUGGGCCUGGCAAUAGUUGGCCCUCACUGCGCUGGGACGGACUCCAGGCGGAAUCAGAAAAUUCUGCCAGUAUGGGACAUCGGAUUGGGUUUGUUUCCUCUCAUCCAGAAGCUAUAAAAGUCCAGAUGAUGCUCCAGUUGGACCGUUCUACCUGUCGCUACUCUCCUUUGGAUGAUGAAGAACCCUAGAUGCCUGCCUCCCUUCCAUGUCCUUAUCCAGCAGGA